GAUGAACGCUGGCGGCGUGCUUAACACAUGCAAGUCGAACGAAGCACUUCAUUUGAUUUCCUUCGGUCGUGAGGAUUUUGUGACUGUGUGACGUACGGGUGAGUAACGCGUGGGUAAGCUGCCUUCUAGAGGGGGAGGACAGUUGGAGACGGCUGCUAAUACCGCAUAAUCGCACGUCAUCGGUUGAUGCAGUGUGGAAAACUCCGGUGGUAUAAGAGGGACCCGCGUUGGAUUAGCUAGUUGGUGAGGUUACGGCCCACCAAGGCGACGAUCCAUAGCCGGAGUGAGAGGGUGCCCGGUCACAUUGGGACUGAGACACGACCCAAACUCGUAGGAGAGGCAGCGGAGGGGACAAUUGCACAAGGAGCGAAAGCCUGAUGCAGCGACGCCGCGUGAGCGAAGAAGUAUUUGGGUAUGUAAAGCUCUAGCAGCAGGGAAGAUAAUGACGGUACCUGACUAAGAAGCACCGGCUAAAUACGU
rnacentral:rRNA from 1 species